GGCUCCUGGAAGCUCCAUUUCCUUUGGAAACUGGGAUAAACCCUGUGGUCCUGCAGGGCUGUGGAUGCUGCUCUGCUCCCAGGGCACACAGCACAACCUGCCAGCUUUGCUCUGAGUGGAGACACCACUCCUGUCAAAUGGCAAUCAUGUCAGCACUUUGCAGCUUCACUUCAGAGCUAUCAACAGCAUCAAUCUUGCUGACCCCACUGACAAAGCAGCAAAAAAAACCCCCAAAAAACAGGCAGAAAGAAACAAAGGAGGGAAUGUGAGACCACAGAGUAGGGAAAACAAACCAGGCAUCCAGUUGUAUUGGAUUGUGAGGGAUGCUCACUAAUAUGACUGACAGAUUGCCUGUCUACACAGAAUCCAAACUAGACAGCAAAAUUACUUUAAAUAGUUCUUC